rnacentral:lncRNA from 1 species
AGUCCAUAACGCUAUACUCUAAUCAGAGAAUUCAUAUUAUGGAAGAAUCCUAAAGACUUAUGAAUGUAAUAAAUGUGGGAACAUUUUUUUGAGACAGAGUCUUGCUCUGUCUCAACUUGUUCAACAUCAGAUAAUUCAUUUGGGGGGAAAACCCUGUAAGGGCGUCGAGUGUGGAAGAGCCUUCAGCUAGAGCUUAGGUCUUACUGAACAUCACACAAUUCACAUUGGAAAAAAACCCUGUGAAAGUGAAAUCCUUUGAAUGUAAAGACUGCAGGAAAGCCUUUCCUCAGAAUCCUCAUCUUAUUCUACAUCACCGAAUUUGCUCAGGAGAGAAAUCCCAUAAUUUAUUGAAUGUGGUCAGCCUUUAAUCAGAGCUCAAAUCUUCGUCCACAUCAAAGAAUUACCUCUGGGGAGAA